UUUUUUUUUUUUUUUUUUUUUUUUUUUAAGUCCCCCGAAGGGGUGCACCGUUCCUGGAGGUACUGCAAUACCAGGUCGAUGCGUGGAGUGGACGGAGCAAGCUCCUAUUCCAACUCCUAGUUCCAAAAAUCCAUUUAAUAUAUUGUCCUCGGAUAGAGGACGUAUCAGAUAUUAAACUGAUAAGAACAGAUACUACACUUGAUCUUAGCCAAAAGGCCGAGAAGGGAUGCCACUGGCCUUUCUUGUCUUGUCCCAGCCCUGUCCUGCCAUUCCCUGGCUGUCAUCAUACAGCCUGUGACAGGAGCUCUGAUUGGCCUGGCUCUGGCCCCGGGUGGCUAUGGUUUGGUGCUAAGGCUAAGCAGGGAGAGAGGACACAGUGGGACUGACUGGCCACUCAAUACCAGACAUCCCCAGAUCUAAUCCAGCCCUAUUUUGCAGGAACAGACAACGCAAACUGGGGACAAAACUGCAGUGACUGGUGGAUGUGACUGGGUAAAGCCUCCGAAUCUGGCCUGCACCAUGCCUUGCAGGAUGGACAGAAAGAUGAAUGAGGGGUGAAGCAGAGACCUCUGCAGACCCGAGUCACCAAGUGGAGCCUUUUUUUUUCCUUAUUUUAAUUUUAAUGGACACGGUGGACCAAAGUGCUGAGUCAGGUCCUCAGCCAGGACCCUGGGAGGACCUGCUGUGUGUGGGUCACAUGGCCGGAGCCCCUCUCUGCUGCUGCCAGCUCCUGACUGGGUGGAAAGUGCUCUUGGCAUGGGCCUCA
rnacentral:lncRNA from 1 species